rnacentral:rRNA from 1 species
UACGAGGGGGGCGAGCGUUGUUCGGAAUUAUUGGGCGUAAAGGGCGCGUAGGCGGUGCGGUAAGUCUGAUGUGAAAUCUCCGGGCUCAACUCGGAGUCUGCAUCAGAAACUGCCGUGCUCGAGUGUGGGAGAGGUGAGUGGAAUUCCCGGUGUAGCGGUGAAAUGCGUAGAUAUCCGGAAGAACACCGACGGCGAAGGCAGCGCCCUGGGCGAGACCUGACGCUCAGGCACGAAAGCUGGGGGAGCAAACAGG